ensembl:lncRNA
GUUUUAGCAAUCCUUCUCUCGUGAUCUCUCAUAAUCAAGUUCCGGGAGAUGAUAAAGGACAGGAAAGUCUGGCGUGCUGCAGUUCAUGGGGUUGCAAGAGUCCGAUGCGACUGAGUGACUGAACAACAAAGCUCCCUGGGUUUUAGCAGUCCUUCUCUCUUGAUCUCUCAUAAUCUGGUCUUUAUUUCCCAUUUCCACUCCUGCCACAAUAACUGAGGUUUUAUAUACCUCUUUUUGUUUGUUAUUUGGUCGCUAUGUCCUACUGUUUGCAACCCCAUGGACUGUAGCCCACCAGGCUCCUCUGUCCAUGGGAUUUUUCAGGCAAAAAUACUGGAGUGGGUAGCCAUUCCCUUCUCCAGGGGAUCUUCCCAAGCCAAGGACUGAACCCAUGUCUCCUGUAUCUCCUGCAUUGCAGGGUUGAGGGUAAGGCAACGGCCUGUCAUUAUCAGGGAGUGAGGUGAACCACAGAAGCUGGUUUCCCAAGAAUCUGCAUCCAGCUGCCAACCUGGUUCUCUACCACAGAGUUACAGAGAGCAGAAAUAUCUUCUGUGGCAUCUUUGUUCAUCAACCAGUAUUUCCACCCAUUCUAGGGCUGUGAUUUCUCAUUAGUUGGGGGUUAUGUAAAU